UCUAAUAUGGCAGAAUAGUGCAAUGAAUUUAAGCUUCAUAUAUAAAGAUUUCCUCUUUUUUUAGAA
rnacentral:tRNA from 1 species